CACGAAAUGUCUUAUAAUAUGACUAAGUGCCAAACUCUCAAACUUUUCAGUGCCCCAAGAUACAUAUUUGACACAAGUUUCAUAGGAGUUUUGAGCUUUUCCAGGGGUGCUUUUAUGACCCUGGUGGUACUUUGAUCAUUCUUCUGCAUCAUGAACCUAAAAGAACACUCAUUAGAACGCAAUCAAUCUCCAUUUUGGGCUCAGGAAAUAGUUGAUAUGAGAGGUGGAACUGUCUUAAGAAUACCAGUUUAACCCCUUCACUGCAGAUUUCCUACAAGAAGACAUUACCAAGCUACAGAAAUGAAACAAAAAGUGGCUGCAACAAUUCAAUGAAGAAAAUGUAAAGUUGCAACUGCAAGGUCAUAUGGCAUAGAAUAUAAAACUAAAUAAACUAUAAUAUAAAAAAGCUAAUUAAUUAAAAACAUGAUAAAGAAGGAGUCAAUAAUCAGAGGAGUAGAAACCAAAGAAAAUGUUGAUAUAUAUGAGUACAACUACCUUCCACUACCUCUAUUUUUUCCCUUAAGCAUCUUCACUGUAAAAAUAACUUACCUAUGAUUAGAGGUAAAUAUUCUCCACAGACUCAUGAUUAGUACAAGUUUUAUGACCUUUAGACUAUACACAAGUUUUGUUUUUUGUUUUUGUUUUUUUUACAAAGGAGACAGCUCAAGGGCACACACAAAAAAGGAAACAAUAAUAAAAAAAAAAGCCCGCUACUCGCUGCUCCUAAAAAGAAUCCAAGGAGGUGGCCGAAAGAGAGGUAAAUUUCGGGAGGUAAGUAUAAAUGAAUAAGACUGGCCUUUCCUUCCCCUUGAGCUGCUUUCUUACCUAUAGGCAUCAAAGGAAAGUAGAAACCUGAUGGGAAAAUAAAUAAGGUAAAGCUGCUUGGUAAUAAUGAGGAACCAAGACUCACCACCAUUGCUUCCUGAGUGACACAUUAUGGUCAGAACGAUUACAAGUUACCAGUCAAAAGAAUAACAGGUCCAAAAUAAUAACAGUAAGGACCCAGAAUGCUACAAAUAAAGGAAGUUACCAGUCAAAAGAAUAACAGGUCCAAAAUAAUAACACUAAGGACCCAGAAUGCUACAAAUAAAGGAAGUUAUCAGUCAAAAGAAUAACAGGUCCAAAAUAAUAACACUAAGGACCCAGAAUGCUACAAAUAAAGGAAGUUAUCAGUCAAAAGAAUAACAGGUCCAAAAUAAUAACACUAAGGACCCAGAAUGCUACAAAUAAAGGAAGUUAUCAGUCAAAAGAAUAACAAGUCCAAAAUAAUAACACUAAGGACCCAGAAUGCUAAAAAUAAAGGAAGUUACCAGUCAAAAGAAUAACAGAUCCAAAAUAAUAACACUAAGGACCCAGAAUGCUUCAAAUAAAGGAAGUUACCAGUCAAAAGAAUAACAGGUCCAAAAUAAUAACAGUAAGGACCCAGAAUACUACAAAUAAAGGAAGUUACCAAUCAGAGUAAUAACAAGUCCAGAAUAAUUACAAAAAAAGAAAUUACCUGUCAGAGAAUGAUAGAAAAACAGGAAUCAACAGGUAGUACGAGAGGAGGAGGAUAGCAAAAAAGAGUUACUAGUUGAUGAGUAAUAUAUAGCAAACAGAUGGUAGGAGAGGAGGGUGACAAGAGGAAACUACAAGUCAGAGAAUAAUAUACAAAACAGCAUAGAAGAAUAUAUAAGAAGAGAAACAGAUAGCAUCAUAGCAGUAGAGGAGUGUGUUGG